rnacentral:rRNA from 1 species
UGGGCAACCUGCCCUCAGCUCUGGGAUAACCCCGGGAACCGGAGCUAAUACCGGAUACUCUCGGCCGACCACAUGGCUGGCCGAGGAAAGGUCCGCCGGUCAGGGAUGGGCCCGCGGCCUAUCAGCUUGUUGGCGAGGUAACGGCUCACCAAGGCGACGACGGGUAGCUGGUCUGAGAGGACGACCAGCCACACUGGAACUGAGAUACGGUCCAGACUCCUACGGGAGGCA